GGAUGUGAGGGCGAUCUGGCUGCGACAUCUGUCAACCCAUUGAUCGCCCCCUCCUCCCUCACCGAUCCAUGUGCGCCCUGAAGUCCACAUCCCUCAGCUACCUAGGAUCACAGGGUCAGACUAAAGGUCAAGCUUACAACCAUA
rnacentral:snRNA from 1 species